rnacentral:lncRNA from 1 species
ACACCCGAUAUGAUACCUUCUAACACCUUCUAAGCUUUAUUGGGAUCCAAACACCCCUAGCAAUAUGCCAUGUUCAAGCUAUAUGUAGUACAACAGGUUGCUCUUCUACUUAACACAUGUAGUCCAGGGAGGUCAGAGGUGAGAAGGACGACGGUGCACACAGACACAAGUGCAGUGGAAAAUUGGAAAUAACACUUGAUGAUUUAUAUUUUUUUUGACAGGGGAUGAUUUAUAAAGCUGACAUCUAGUAUUAGUGAACUUGGUUAGGUACCUCGUUGUGCUGCCAACACUCAUCAUAGUAAUCACACCCGGGCCUUCAUGUCACGACUCACGACUCGGACUGUAGUAUGCGGCAAGCGGCAUGUUCGGGCGGGCUCGGCAUUGCGUGGCAUAGGGAUGAAAACGGUACGGAUAUUUUCCGACCGUAUUCGAGACCGAAUUCGUUUAGAGAGGUUUAGAUCUGUCCGUAUCCGAGUCCGAAUAUUCAACAUCCGAUACCGUAUUCGUAUCCGAAUAUUUAAAUCGUAUAUUUAUGAUGUCGACAUCCAAUUGUAUCUUAUCCGACAUGAUUGACAUUAUCCGUAUUCGGAUCUGAAUUCGACCACAAAUAUGAAAACAAAUAUAAUAUCGGUGAUAUCCGUCCGUAUCCGAUCCGUUUUCAUCCCUACAUGGCACUGCGGACGCAAGCAGCGGUGACGUUUUUUUGCUAAAAAAAAGAGCAGCGGCG